ACAAUUAGCCAACAUAUCUUCUGAAAAAAAAAUUGUUAAAACUUAUACUGAAAAAUCUUAUUUUGAAGUUGCAAUAACCAUCCAUCGGAUCCUACAAAAUUGGGCACGUCAACAAGACAUUAUGACUUCUUAAGAACCCAUGUUCUCUUAAUUGCAUCUCAAUUACAAAAUUGGCUUCUGUUUCUGGAUUUUUUACAGAAGAUCGUAAUAUGCAACCUUCGUAUCCAGUAAUAAAAGCGUACUUUCUUCUCUCCAUGGGAGGAUGAGAAGAAAAACAGAAUUGAGAAAGAUUUUAUCUUUCUAGAUGGAAUUGAAAAAUUUAAACCUAAACUACAUGAUUAUGGUAUGAUGUUAAUACUUAUAAAUAUUAUGGGUAUGUGCUUUGCAGAAGUUUCUAAGAGUUUAAGGAAAGCAACACUCCGAAGUCGAGAAUCAUUAAAAGAUGAGAACUUGAAUGGCAAUGUGAUUAUCUUCGUAAUUGUUCUAGAUGAUAUUUAGGAUUUAUGGUUGAAUCUCAAUUUUUUAGUCUUAUACGUUGGUUUUUAAGUCUGGAGUGUUUGUAAAUGUUUCGGCUAUGUGUUUUCUAGAAGUUUCUAUGAGUUUAAGAAAAACAACACUGCAAUGUCGAGAAAUAUUAAAAGAGAUGAUCUUUAAUGGUAAUGUGGUUACCUUCAAGUUAUAAUUAUUCCAGAUGAUAUAUAAGAUUUUUGACUGAAUCAAUAUUUUCCGGUCUUAUAUGUGAAUUUUUAAGUAUGGACUGUUUACAAAAGAUAUCAUUUAAACAAAUCUCAAAUACAUGACACAGUUUGGAUAACUUGGUCUAUGUAAAGAGCGGUGAUGAUCUGUCUUUGGCAAAGAUAAAUCGAUGGCCGUGGUUCUUCCUCCGUGUUCACAUUAAACGCAUCUUUCUCUCGCAUGAUUUGGUUUUCGUUGACCGCAAAAGAAGACGUCCCUUCUCCUUCUUUCAUUUCCUUUCAUUUCUGUGUCGUACCUGAAACUCUAACCAUUAAGAUCGAACGAUUAGGUUAGUUUUACAGCAACUGAAAUACCUAGCCAUAGAAACCCCCGAACUCAUGAUAAUUUGUUAGUUCUCAAAUGAUUUCAAACCCAUAACAUCCCCCUAAGAGGGCUGCACUAAUUUGGACAAUUUUGAUUUCUAUAGAUUUAACUACAAUACUAUUUCUACGGCCUCAGUUUUCCCAUCAAACCAAAGCUUUGGCUGGUACACGCGGCUCAAAGGUGAUGUUCUUACUUCCCAAUUCUGACAGACGGAGAUUCAAAAAAUAAAUGAAUUGCGAAGAAGGUAUAGAUAAAUAGAAAUUGGAGAGACCUAAUAGAGUCAUGAACUAGAGAAUAAGAAAGAAAGAUAAAUCUGUUUUUUUUAGUCAUUCUAAGUUCAGUGACUUUUGUAAAUCUUAGAUUGUCCAUCAUAGAAUUUCGGUUGCAUAAACCACGUCGUAACUAUAUCCUCGGGAUAUUCACAUAAUCCAUUUUUGAGAACCAAGUUGAUGUUGAUGGAGUUGUCUUCAGAAGAAGACUUACUCAAUAAUAUAUUUUCCCUUGAUGUAUUUUCUAGAGAGGGACGUAGAACUAGCUAGGGUUUAAUUAGAAGCUUUUGGUUUGUUGAGCAACAGGGAUUCAGGUUUGGAAGGUUUCUUUUCCAGCUUCAAUUUAAUCCUGCAUGUUUGUUGUAAAGGUGAUAUAUCUCAAUUCUUUGGUCAAGGUGUUUCGGCGAUAUGUCCGAUUUUUCCCAUGAUUCCUUUUCAUUCUCUGCCAAAAAUGAAGUACAAAGAAUACGUUGAAAUUAGAAGCUAAACCAAGUAACUGCAUUCAACUAGCUUUUUCUUUACUCAUAAGAUCUUCGUACGUAGGAAUUGGGUCAUAAUCAGCAUGCCACUUUCGCAAAACUAACAAUGGAGUCUAAUCAACAGGCUUUGGUCAAAACCACCCAUCUCAUAAUUUCCUACCAAAUCGUAAUGCCUAGCCCUACACAUGCGCAUUGUCAGAACCACUCAUACCAGGUAUCUCUCCCACCUAUGAUUGAGAUGAAGAAUCGACCGAGGGCGUUGAUUAAGACACACGGUACGCCAUCACUACCUUAAUUGUUUGGAUCAUAAAGAAGACGAAAGGUUCGGGGACAUAGAAACUUGGUAUGGGAUGUGUCGAGCAGUUAGGCCACACAUUUAAGGAACACUUGAAUGCGUCCACUGAGAAAACAAAGCAAUGUUCCAAUCACCGCACUUCAGUGGGCUGAUAAAUAGAAUCACCUGGUCAACAAUCAAGGUUAUACAUUUUUGAACAUGAUACAGGUGGAUUGAGUCGAAAAUGAUUUUGAGGUACUAUAUUCUUGCUGCGCCAGGUUGUAUUCGAGGUAAGAAGGGUCACACAUGGAGGGACAAAUCUUGAGGUUUCAAGGAUCAACCUGAAAAAGGGUUCAUGGUCUUAUUACUAUGAAAACGACCUAUUUGCGGAGGUAUAUCUUUCUUUUUUUUUGAAGGCAUUGCAGAGGUAUACCAACUAUUUAGACACAUGAGAAAACCAAACAACAAUUUGUAGCAUUAUAUUCCGAGGAGAUAUUAAUGAAAAGGUUUCAAAUUAUUGUGCGGGAGGAGCAAGAUGAUGAUAACUCGGACAUGCGGGUCUCCUCCAGAUGAGGACUAUGAAGCACUAUUCUAAACAAUCAAGGACAUGAAGCCUCAAAAUGAAACAAAACCACCACCAAGAGAAGAUGAGACUGAUGUCGGCAAUGAGAUCAUGGAUGACAAAUUAAAUUACUGACAGAUGCAAAUGGUAUCGGCAUAUCGAGUGACUGAAUCAACGAAGCAUCUAGACUAAUGAUACCGACAUAUUGGAUGGGGAGCAUUGAUGUUUUACAUUAAAGCGUUGGAUUUAAACAGUAACGAUCCUGUCGAUCCAUGUCAAUUUUACCAUAUUUUAAGUUUAUAUUUGUUUUUCUGGAGAGUCCUUCACUUUUUGUUGGUUUGAACUUCCUUAAGCCUGUACGUUUGGUUUUUGAAUGUUGUUUUUUUACUAAUUACGUUUGGUUUUUGAAUGUUGUUUUUUUACUAAUAAAACUGUAGACGUUUGGUUCUUGAA